UAAACAUGAUGGUAUCAAGACAUUGUCUCAGUUUUGGAGAGAAAUUGAAUUGAAGAUACAGUGACCACUGGCCAUUGACUUGGAACUAAAAUCCAGAGGAAAUUUUGGAGCUCAAAAUAUAAAUUUGUGCAUUCAGUUGAUGGCUGUGGCUGAUGGUGGUUAGAGACGGGAAACAAAGGCUGAACUGGAGCAGCAACCAUGACUCGGGAAGAACUGAUGGGAAGACCUAGAAACUAAAACAACACAGUGAAAAGAGAGCUGAGGGAAUGACUGGGAAAACAGCAAGAAUACCAAGCAGCCGAGCUGUCUGAAAGAGAUUUACAGCAGAGUCACUUGAAAAGGACACUCUCCAGCCUGUUGAGCUGCCUGCAGGAUAUUCCCAGCUUUGUAAACUGUCAUGCUGGGUGUACCAUAUGCGUGCCUGGUGCCUGAGGAGAUCAGGAGAGGCGUCGGAUCCCUAGGAGCUGCUGGAUGGUUGUGAGCCACCAUGUAGGUGCUGGCAACUGCAUCUGGGUCCUCUGCAAGAACAACGAGCUUUCUUAACCACCCAGCCAUCCGUCCAGCCCCUAAAGCAGUUUUAA